rnacentral:rRNA from 1 species
CCUACGGGAGGCAGCAGUGGGGAAUAUUGCACAAUGGGGGAAACCCUGAUGCAGCGACGCCGCGUGAGUGAAGAAGUAAUUCGUUAUGUAAAGCUCUAUCAGCAGGGAAGAAAAUGACGGUACCUGCAAAGGAAGCACCGGCUAACUCCGUGCCAGCAGCCGCGGUAAUACGGAGGGUGCGAGCGUUAAUCGGAAUUACGGGGCGUAAAGCGCUCGUAGGCGGUAUGUCAAGUCAAGGGGGAAAUCCCCGCGCUCAACGUGGGAACUGCCUUUGAAACUGGCAAACUGGAGUGGGUGGGAGGAUAGUGGAAUUCGAGGUGUAGGAGUGAAAGCCGUAGAUAUCUGGAGGAACAUCAGUGGCGAAGGCGACUAUCUGGCACAUAACUGACGCUGAGGAGCGAAAGCGUGGGUAGCAAACAGGAUUAGAUACCCCUGUAGUC